CAGUAGCCACGGUAAUACAGAGGGUGCGAGCGUUAAUCGGAUUUACUGGGCGUAAAGCGUGCGUAGGCGGCUUCUUAAGUCGGAUGUGAAAUCCCUGAGCUUAACUUAGGUAUUGCAUUCGAUACUGGGAAGCUAGAGUAUGGGAGAGGAUGGUAGAAUUCCAGGUGUAGCGGUGAAAUGCGUAGAGAUCUGGAGGAAUACCGAUGGCGAAGGCAGCCAUCUGGCCUAAUACUGACGCUGAGGUACGAAAGCAUGGGGAGCAAACAGGAUUAGAGACCCCGGUAGUCCCUGUCUCUUAUAA
rnacentral:rRNA from 1 species